AUGAGUUGCGCGUCAUUAUUGGAAGUGUGUGUUCAUUUGUACGGUUAUCAAGACGAAAUCUGUAUUGUCCGGAGAAAAAAUAGAUUUGUGUUUAAGAAGAAAUCUUGUUCAGAAACGUUUGCUACUGACUUACUUUUGGUCAAAUCUUGUUCAGAAACGUUUGCUACUGACUUACUUUUGGUCAAAUCUUGUUCAGAAACGUCAUCUACUCACCCAUCUCUUCUUAGUUUUCUGACCAAAGAAAAACAGCAAAGUGUCAACUCCAACCCCCCAAAGAUGGGUCUCGAAAAUGAAAGAAGAAUCCCGUAG
rnacentral:rRNA from 1 species